CGUCACAAAGCAACGAUCCGCUGACAAAAAGGUUUGAUUUAAAGUUUUGUGCGUGACAAAAUUGGAAAAUUUGUGUAGUAUUUUGUGCUUGUGUUGAAGAAAAAGCCAUAUUUUAGUUGAAUAUGGUUGGGUAGAAAGGAAAAAACACUAUAUAAAGAUGACUAGGAAAGGAAAGGGUUUCUCUGGGAUACAAAGGGCAAUAAUAAAGCGAAAGAGGAGAGCAAAGCAUCGAGGAGACGGCUGAGACAUCAUGAUGAUGAACCUGCGUGU